rnacentral:rRNA from 1 species
UACGGGGGGGGCAAGCGUUGUUCGGAAUUACUGGGCGUAAAGGGCUCGUAGGCGGCCAACUAAGUCGGAUGUGAAAUCCCCAGGCUCAACUUGGGAACUGCAUCCGAUACUGGAUGGCUUGAAUUCGGGAGAGGGAUGCAGAAUUCCAGGUGUAGCGGUGAAAUGCGUAGAUAUCUGGAGGAAUACCGGUGGCGAAGGCGGCAUCCUGGACCGACAUUGACGCUGAGGAGCGAAAGCCAGGGGAGCAAAGCGGG